UGGGUAGGGGAGCGUUCUGUAAGCCUGCGAAGGUGUGCUGUGAGGCAUGCUGGAGGUAUCAGAAGUGCGAAUGCUGACAUAAGUAACGAUAAAGCGGGUGAAAAGCCCGCUCGCCGGAAGACCAAGGGUUCCUGUCCAACGUUAAUCGGGGCAGGGUGAGUCGACCCCUAAGGCGAGGCCGAAAGGCGUAGUCGAUGGGAAACAGGUUAAUAUUCCUGUACUUGGUGUUACUGCGAAGGGGGGACGGAGAAGGCUAUGUUGGCCGGGCGACGGUUGUCCCGGUUUAAGCGUGUAGGCUGGUUUUCCAGGCAAAUCCGGAAAAUCAAGGCUGAGGCGUGAUGACGAGGCACUACGGUGCUGAAGCAACAAAUGCCCUGCUUCCAGGAAAAGCCUCUAAGCAUCAGGUAACAUCAAAUCGUACCCCAAACCGACACAGGUGGUCAGGUAGAGAAUACCAAGGCGCUUGAGAGAACUCGGGUGAAGGAACUAGGCAAAAUGGUGCCGUAACUUCGGGAGAAGGCACGCUGAUAUGUAGGUGAAG
rnacentral:rRNA from 1 species